UCUGAAGCUAUUGUUUGUGGCAUCAAAUAUCCUAAGGCCUUCGAUCUUGCUCAAGGUUUCGGGAAGACUGCCGCUCAGUUGAUUAUUGAGUAGAUAGAGGACCUCCAACUUGGUGCAGUUACCAAUCGAAGUGGGUAAAACCCCAGAUAACAUAUUAUCAUGCAACCACAAGGACGUAAGGCUUGUCAUUUCACCAACCGAGAAGGGGAUCGAACCACUGAGCUGAUUGGAAUGGAGGUACACUUGCUCCAGAAACUGAUUGAGAAGCACAAUACAGGCACACAGCCAUGCAUACGUGACACCAACACGCUAGGCAGUGGUAAUAACUCUAAAAAGGAAAGUAGCUGUGACAUCAGUCUUAAUGGGAUUUCAUCAUAGGGAGUUUCAUCGACAUUACAUUCUAACUAUCUUGGAAAAAACGGAAUGUGCUUCACAUUACGGAUUCAGUAGACACUGUCUUGUCCAGUUGUUCCUAUCUUCGUUUGCUAAAAUGACUUUCAUUAAUUUUCUUUGCUGCUAACCUUGAAAAGCAUACACAACCUCCUGCUUUUACACCCGGAUUCGUACUGUCAACGAGCAACUGGUUGGAACUGGGACAAAAACAAGGUGCUCCCAAUUCCAGAACCUUUUACGAUAUGCCAUGUUGCUUCGACCGUGCACACCUCGUUACGUUUAACCAGUCUUUUGGUAUGCAUGUGCUACUAUGCUCACCGACGAGUUUCUCCUUCCAAAACUACACUGGUUUUUUGUCUAAAACUUCAAUCGUCACUGGUUUUGUCUAAAACUCCCUAUACGAUGUGUGUAACAACGGCAUAACUGUAAAUAUCAAAGGCUAUAUGCUUCUGCAGAAGCAAAGGCGAGACACUUGUUUUAUUUUCUUUUGAACGGAAGACACUUGUUUUAUUCUAUCAAUCAAAGAUCACAUUAACUGUAAAUCACCCUAUCUUUCGUGAGUUACAACUUACAACGAACACAGUAAGCAUUUUUUGGCGGAAUUUUGCUGGAAAAGUUGUUGUAACUAAGAUCUAAAACACCUAGGUUUGUACAAUUACUGAAUCCUGGAAUGGAUCCAUUCAGGUUGUUAGCUUGGGGACUGAUUUGCAGCGAACAAGGGCAGUUUGAAAAUAUAUUUGGUGGGACCGGACCGUCGAAACCAUUGCGGCUAAGAUCUAUGUAACUUAAUCCCUUGCAAUUUCUGAAUUCAGGAAUAUGCCCGCUGAAAUUGUUGCCCUGAAGAAUGAAUCUCUCCAAACUUGGGCAGUUCGAAACCCCGGAUGGGAUGCUACCAGUGAGAUGAUUAGAGCCCAAGUCCAGAAUUCUCAAUGUUUUCCCUGAACAAAUGUUUGGCGGAAUCCCACCAACAAAACUGUUGUUGGUGAAAUCAACCUUGACUAAACGGCUGUUAGCACCCAGUCCCGGUGGUAUGGCUCCGGUGAAGAAAUUAUCAAACAGUGUAAUGUUCUGCAGGAACUUAAGCUCAGCAAGCACAGAAGGUAGCUUCCCAGUAAGACCAUUUCGAUAGACGAGGACACUUUGAAGGCUUUGGAUGCCCCAUAUAUUUUCAGGAAACUCCCCUGUGAGAUGAUUUUCAAAAAGGAACAGCUUCUGCAAGUUCCUCAAGUUUGCUAGUUCUUUUGGAACAGUGCCCUCAAGCUGGUUUGCAUCCAACUCCAGCCACAAAAGCAAUUCACAGUUGCCAAUUUCAGUAGGGAUUGGACCAGACAAAUUGUUUUGAGAAAGUAGAAGAUAAGUGAGGUUUCUCAGUAAACCAACUGUAGGUGGUAUCUGUCCGGACAGACUGUUGUUGACAAAUGCAAGCUGCGUCAAGCUGCUGCAGUUCCCUAACCAUUUUGGUAUCUCCCCUCUGAUUUGAUUGAAUGACAGGAUGAAUAUUUCCAACUUGCAGCUAUUCUCAAAACUGAAAGGAAUCUCGCCUCUGAAGCUAUUGUUUGUGGCAUCAAAUAUCCUGAGGCCUUCGAUCUUGCUCAAGGUUUCAGGAAGACUGCCGCUCAGUUGAUUAUUGAGUAGAUAGAGGACCUCCAACUUGGUGCAGUUACCAAUCGAAGCGGGUAAAACCCCAGAUAACAUAUUAUCAUGCAACCACAAGGACGUAAGGCUUGUCAUUUCACCAACCGAGAAGGGGAUCGAACCACUGAGCUGAUUGGAAUGGAGGUACACUUGCUCCAGAAACUGGUUCUUGAACAACUCCUCUGGUAUAGU
rnacentral:lncRNA from 1 species